rnacentral:other from 1 species
AAUAACCUCAAGAAUUCUUUUUAUAAGCAUGGAAAUCCCCUGAGUGAAACAACGAAUUGCUGUGUGUAGUCUUUGCCCAUCUCCCACGAUGGGCUUUUUUUUAU